rnacentral:lncRNA from 1 species
CGAGAAGAGGCUGAACUGCCCCAUCUGCUUCUAAUUUCUUUCUUUCUUUCUUUCUUUCUUUUUUUCCCCUCUUUUCCUUUUCUUCUUUUAAAUAUACGUUUGGAAAUUUGCCGGGCGUGGUGGCGGGCGCCUGUAAUCCCAGCUACUCGGGAGGCUGAGGCAGGAGAAUCGCUUGAAUCCGGGAGACGGAGGUUGCAGUGAGCCGAGAACGCGCCACUACACUCCAGCCUGGACGACGAGAGUGAUACUCCGUCUCAGUCAAUCAAUCAAUCAAUCAAUCGUUUGAUUUUCGUUUUAUGCUUUUACUUCCAAAUUUAUAUUUAUUGCAAAAAAUGUGGAAUAUAACAAAGUGUAAAGGUGAAACUGAAAUAACCCGAAAUUAUAUUUCCCCCUCUGUGGUUUUUUUUUUUCCGUCUCUGUGUUUUUCAAUGUUUUUCAGGCCUUCUGUCUUGAGCUCGUAUUACUGCUGUUCACUGAUGUAUUGUAAAAGCGUAAAACCGGACGUGACCCAAAUGUCUAUCAAAGGAGACUGAUGAGAGAAAUAAACGGAUUUGUUCACACAACGGCUUCUACAGCAAAGAAACAGAAGGUAGCUCCAAGUGCUCUGAAAUGGAAAGGUAUGCAGGAUUUCCUGUUAGGUUAAAACAGAACGAAGCAAAAACCGAGGUUGCGCAAUGAUACAUAUAGAACAGUCUCAUAGUUGUAUACAUAGUUACACAGAGGAAACAAAGAUCUGGAAAGAUGUGUAGUUUGCACCUGUUACCAUUGGUUAGCUCUGGGGUGGACGGAGAAGGGAGAAGUUUUAAGAUUCUUUAUAUAAUACACUUAUUUAAUAUCUAUCUAUGUGCUAAGUUGUAUUACAUUUGUUGUUUUUUAAAGAGAUCCUUUUAAACAGAGAAGGGAGAACUCCCUCAAAUCCCAAUUGCACUACAAAGAGAAACCAACAUGUUGGUUAUUUUUAUAGCAUAUAAGUUUAUAUACCGUAUUAAUAAUGUAUAGCUAUAUAGCCUGCUUUUUCCACUUAGCACAUUUCAUAAUUUUU